rnacentral:rRNA from 1 species
GUGAGUAGUUCUAGAGUUUGAUCCUGGCUCAGGACGAACGCUGGCGGCGUGCCUAACACAUGCAAGUCGAACGGGGUGUUCCUUCGGGGACACUUAGUGGCGAACGGGUGAGUAACGCGUGAGAAACCUGCCUCUCAUGGGGGACGAACAGUUGGAAACGACUGCUAAUACCGCAUAAUGUUAUCGGGUCGCAUGAUCUGAUAACCAAAGCUUUAUGUGCUGAGAGAUGGUCUCGCGUCUGAUUAGCUAGAUGGCGGGGUAACGGCCCACCAUGGCGACGAUCAGUAGCCGGUCUGAGAGGAUGAACGGCCACAUUGGGACUGAGAUACGGCCCAG